rnacentral:lncRNA from 1 species
CAACUCAAGCUGAGGUAUUCCUCCAAACUUGGGCUAAUUAUCAUCAAGAUAUAGAAGCUCAUGAGGCCCAAGUUGCUGCAAAAAAAUCUAUGGGUGACAACAGCAAAACAGAAGCCCCUACUACCCUCAACCGAGCCUAUUUGUUGGACCAAGACAGCAAGGAAGAAGCUGCUGCAACUUUGGAAGUGGACAGCAGCAAAUUGACAUCUCCCAAGGGCGUUCAAGUGAGCUUAUUUGAAGAUGACAACAAGGAACGCCACGCUAAGAAAGUUUGCAGCCAACCCAAUGAAGUGAAGGCAAGCAACAAGAAGGAAGUUGCCGCAGCACAACUUGCAACAGCAAGUUUAGAAGAAGCAAAGCAAUAUGAGAUGGCUGUUGCGGGAGGCUCAAAUUGGGGAAUAGCUGGAGA